GUCUUCAAAGAGCAUAUGGAGGAUACCUUGGCACUGUAAGGCGAUGAAGGACGUGUCUGGCUGCGAUAAGCCUCGGGGAGCUGUCAAAGAAGCAUUGAUCCGGGGAUUUCCGAAUGGGACAACCUAUCUGGAGUAAUGUCCGGAUGUUAAAUCGUUAUACCGGGGGAACUGAAACAUCUUAGUACCUCGAGGAAAAUAAAUCAACAGAGAUUCCCAUAGUAGUGGCGAGCGAACUGGGAAGAGCCUAAACCUUCCGAUUUAUCGGGAGGGGUUGCGGGACCAUAAUGUGAUACCUCAAGACUUAAUUGAAAUUUGCUGGAAAGCAAGGCCAUAGAAGGUGAUAGCCCUGUAAAUGAAAAGUUAAGAGGGUCUAUUGGUAUCCCAAGUACUGCGGGACACGUGAAAUCCUGUAGGAAUCCGGGUGGACCAUCAUCCAAGGCUAAAUACUAAACAGUGACCGAUAGUGAACUAGUACCGUGAGGGAAAGGUGAAAAGAACCCAGGAAUGGGAGUGAAAUAGAAUUUGAAACCGUAUGCUUACAAUCAGUCGGAGCCUGGUAGCAAUACCGGGUGACGGCGUGCCUAUUGAAGAAUGAGCCGGCGACUUACAGUUGCAUGCGAGCCGAAAGGCGUAGGGAAACCGAGUCUGAAUAGGGCGUUAGUAUGCAGUUGUAGACCCGAAACCGCAGCGAUCUAUCCUUGGGCAGGAUGAAUUCCAAGUAACAUUGGGAGGAGGUCCGAACCGGUUGAUGUUGAAAAAUCAUCGGAUGACCUGAGGAUAGCAGUGAAAAGCUAAACGAGCGCGGAGAUAGCUGGUUCUCCCCGAAAUGGUUUUAGGGCCAGCCUUAAGCUUAUCUUUGCGGAGGUAGAGUACAGUUUGAACUAGGGCCCCGAAAGGGGUUCCAACUUCUUGCUAACUCCGAAUGCCGCAGAUUAAAUGCUUAGGAGUGAGACUACGAGGGAUGAGCUUCGUGGUCAAAAGGGAAACAGCCCAGAUCGUCAGCUAAGGUCCCAAAAUCUAGACUGAGUGGUAAAGGAAGUAAAGUUGCCAAAACAGCCAGGAGGUUGGCUUAGAAGCAGCCACCCUUUAAAGAGUGCGUAACAGCUCACUGGUCGAGCGGCUUUGCGCCGAAAAUUCACGGGGCUAAGUCUAGUACCGAAGCUACGAAUUCAUUUUGAGUGGUAGGGGAGCGUUCUGUUAUAGAGUGAAGGUGUGGUGUGAACCAUGCUGGACGAAACAGAAGUGAGAAUGUCGGCAUAAGUAACGAAUAGACAGGUGUAAAUCCUGUCCGCCGAAAGUCGAAGGUUUCCUGGGGAAGGUUCGUCCACCCAGGGUUAGUCGAUCCUAAGCUGAGGCCGAAAGGCGUAGGCGAUGGAAAUCGCGGUUAAUAUUCCGCAACCACCUUUAUUGUUAACCAAAGGGACGCAGGAGGAUAAUCCGUAACACUUAUCGGAUUGUGGCACCCCAAGAGCAAUCGCGGGGGACGCGGAUGAGUCCACACUGACGAGAAAAGCUUUGGGCAUUGGUAAGGGUGAUCGUACUACAUACCGACACAGGUAGACUAGCUGAGCAAGCUAAGGCGCGCGAGAUAACUCUCUCUAAGGAACUAGGCAAAAUAUUCCCGUAACUUCGGGAGAUGGGAACCCUAUUAAUUUAGGGCACAGAAAGCAGGCCCUUGCGACUGUUUAACAAAAACACAGGUCUCUGCAAACCCGUAAGGGGAAGUAUAGGGGCUGAUGCCUGCCCAGUGCUGGAACGUUAAGGGGCGUCUUGAGAUUAUAUCAAGGGACAAACCGAAGCGCCAGUGAACGGCGGCCGUAACUAUAACGGUCCUAAGGUAGCGAAAUUCCUUGUCGGGUAAGUUCCGACCCGCACGAAAGGCAUAACGACAUGGGCGCUGUCUCGGAGAGAGACUCGGUGAAAUUGGGAUGUCCGUGAAGACACGGAUUACCUGCAUCAGGACAGAAAGACCCCGUGGAGCUUUACUGUAUCCUAACUUUGAAUUUCGAUUCUUCCUGCGUAGCAUAGGUGGGAGGCUAUGAAGUCCUUCUCUAGGGAGGGGCAGAGCCACAAGUGAAAUACCACCCUGGUUGUGUUGGAGUUCUAACCCGGUCCGUGUAGGACCAGGAACAGAGUUAGGUGGGCAGUUUGACUGGGGCGGUCGCCUCACAAAGCGUAACUGAGGCGUUCAAAGGUUCCCUCAGCACGGUUGGAAAUCGUGCGUCGAGUGUAAAGGCAUAAGGGAGCUUGACUGCGAGACGUACAUGUCGAGCAGGGACGAAAGUCGGACUUAGUGAUCCGGCGGCUCUGCAUGGAAAGGCCGUCGCUCAACGGAUAAAAGUUACCCCGGGGAUAACAGGCUGAUCUCCUCCAAGAGUUCAUAUCGACGAGGAGGUUUGGCACCUCGAUGUCGGCUCGUCGCAUCCUGGAGCUGGAGCAGGUUCCAAGGGUUGGGCUGUUCGCCCAUUAAAGCGGUACGUGAGCUGGGUUCAGAACGUCGUGAGACAGUUUGGUCCAUAUCCGGUGCAGGCGUUGGAAAUUUGAGAGGAGCUCUUCCUAGUACGAGAGGACCGGAAGGGACGGACCUCUAGUGUACCAGUUGUCGCGCCAGCGGCAAACACUGGGUAGCUAUGUCCGGACGGGAUAAACGCUGAAAGCAUCUAAGCGUCAAGCCCACCUCAAGAUUAGAUUUCAUAGACCCCUUGUAGACCACAAGGUUGAUAGGCUGGAGGUGUAAGCACAGCAAUGUGUUCAGCUGACCAGUACUAAUCGGUC
rnacentral:rRNA from 2 species